UACGUAGGGUGCAAGCGUUGUCCGGAAUUAUUGGGCGUAAAGAGCUCGUAGGCGGUCUGUCGCGUCUGCUGUGAAAACUCGGGGCUUAACCCCGGGCCUGCAGUGGGUACGGGCAGGCUGGAGUUCGGUAGGGGAGACUGGAAUUCCUGGUGUAGCGGUGAAAUGCGCAGAUAUCGGGAGGAACACCGGUGGCGAAGGCGGUUCUCUGGGCCUGUACUGACGCUGAGGAGCGAAAGCGUGGGGAGCGAACAGG
rnacentral:rRNA from 1 species